rnacentral:tRNA from 1 species
GGAGGAGUGGCCGAGCGGUCGAAGGCGGCGGUCUUGAAAACCGUUGUGCGAAAGCACCGGGGGUUCGAAUCCCUCCUCCUCCGCCG